UGGGGAAUAUUGCGCAAUGGGGGAAACCCUGACGCAGCAACGCCGCGUGUGUGAAGAAGGCUUUCGGGUCGUAAAGCACUGUUGAGUAGGAAGAGAAGGUGCUGGUUAAUACCCAGCGCCCCGACGGUACUACUCGAGGAAGCACCGGCUAACUCCGUGCCAGCAGCCGCGGUAAUACGGAGGGUGCAAGCGUUGUUCGGAAUUAUUGGGCGUAAAGCGCGCGCAGGCGGGCCAUUAAGUCUGAUGUGAAAUCCCUCGGCUCAACCGAGGUCGUGCAUUGGAUACUGGUGGCCUUGAAUCCUGGAGAGGGAAGCGGAAUUCCCAGUGUAGAGGUGAAAUUCGUAGAUAUUGGGAGGAACACCGGCGGCGAAGGCGGCUUCCUGGACAGUGAUUGACGCUGAGGCGCGAAAGCGUGGGUAGCAAACAGG
rnacentral:rRNA from 1 species